rnacentral:rRNA from 1 species
CCUACGGGUGGCUGCAGUGGGGAAUAUUGGACAAUGGGGGGAACCCUGAUCCAGCCAUGCCGCGUGUGUGAAGAAGGCCCUCGGGUUGUAAAGCACUUUCAGUGAGGAAGAACGCCUGGUGGUUAAUACCCAUCAGGAAAGACAUCACUCACAGAAGAAGCACCGGCUAACUCCGUGCCAGCAGCCGCGGUAAUACGGAGGGUGCGAGCGUUAAUCGGAAUUACUGGGCGUAAAGCGCGCGUAGGUGGCUUGAUAAGCCGGUUGUGAAAGCCCCGGGCUCAACCUGGGAACGGCAUCCGGAACUGUCAAGCUAGAGUGCAGGAGAGGAAGGUAGAAUUCCCGGUGUAGCGGUGAAAUGCGUAGCGAUCGGGAGGAAUACCAGUGGAGAAGGCGGCCUUCUGGACUGACACUGACACUGAGGUGCGAAAGCGUGGGUAGCACACAGGAUUAGAUACCCUUGUAGUC